UGGGGAAUGUUGGACAAUGGGGGAAACCCUGAUCCAGCCAUCCCGCGUGUGCGAUGAAGGCCUUCGGGUUGUAAAGCACUUUUGGCAGGAAAGAAACGUCAUCGGUUAAUAUCCCGUGAAACUGACGAGACCAGCAGAAUAAGCACCGGCUGACUACGUGCCAGCAGCCGCGGUAAUACGUAGGGUGCAAGCGUUAAUCGGAAUUACUGGGCGUAAAGCGGGCGCAGGCGGUUCUGAAAGAAAGAUGUGAAAUACCAGAGCUCAACUUUGGAACUGCAUUUUUAACUACCGGGCUAGAGUGUGUCAGAGGGAGGUGGAAUUCCGCGUGUAGCAGUGAAAUGCGUAGAUAUGCGGAGGAACACCGAUGGCGAAGGCCGCCUGCUGGGAUAACACUGACGCUCAUGCACGAACGCGUGGGGAGCAAACAGG
rnacentral:rRNA from 1 species